GACGAACGCUGGCGGCGUGCUUAACACAUGCAAGUCGAACGGAAAGGCCCUGCUUUUGUGGGGUGCUCGAGUGGCGAACGGGUGAGUAACACGUGAGUAACCUGCCCUUGACUUUGGGAUAACUUCAGGAAACUGGGGCUAAUACCGGAUAGGAGCUCCUGCUGCAUGGUGGGGGUUGGAAAGUUUCGGCGGUUGGGGAUGGACUCGCGGCUUAUCAGCUUGUUGGUGGGGUAGUGGCUUACCAAGGCUUUGACGGGUAGCCGGCCUGAGAGGGUGACCGGCACAUUGGGACUGGGAUACGGCCCAGACUCCUACGGGAGGCAGCAGUGGGGAAUAUUGCACAAUGGGCGGAAGCCUGAUGCAGCAACGCCGCGUGCGGGAUGACGGCCUUCGGGUUGUAAUCCGCUUUCGCCUGUGACGAAGCGUGAGUGACGGUAAGGGGUAAAGAAGCACCGGCUAACUACGUGC
rnacentral:rRNA from 1 species